UAGGGAAUCUUCGGCAAUGGACGAAAGUCUGACCGAGCAACGCCGCGUGAGUGAAGAAGGUUUUCGGAUCGUAAAACUCUGUUGUUAGAGAAGAACAAGGACGUUAGUAACUGAACGUCCCCUGACGGUAUCUAACCAGAAAGCCACGGCUAACUACGUGCCAGCAGCCGCGGUAAUACGUAGGUGGCAAGCGUUGUCCGGUUUUAUUGGGCGUAAAGCGAGCGCAGGCGGUUUCUUAAGUCUGAUGUGAAAGCCCCCGGCUCAACCGGGGAGGGUCAUUGGAAACUGGGAGACGUGAGUGCAGAAGAGGAGAGUGGAAUUCCAUGUGUAGCGGUGAAAUGCGUAGAUAUAUGGAGAAACACCAGUGGCGAAGGCGGCUCUCUGGUCUGUAACUGACGCUGAGGAUCGAAAGCGUGGGGAGCAAACAGG
rnacentral:rRNA from 1 species